CGGUUUUGCUUAUCUGCAUUUAGCUGCGACUUUUUAUAGAACAGGCGGAACAACUGUAAUGUUUGCUGUGCAGUGUUACAAACUUGCCUUAGAUUUGUAGGUAACUAUUGAAAUAAAAAAUGUGGCAGUGGAAAAAUUAGUCCUUCCAAUGAAAAACGCAGCAAAGUUAAAACAGGUAUGUAUCAAGCUUGUGGAAGCUUAACAAGGCAUGUUAUCAAGAGUAUGAGGAUACAGGAUAAAAUAUCUAACAGUAAAAAGGGUAUAGUUAAUAGCAUACCCAGGAAUGUUAUGGCUUUUAUUACAGCUAGAGCGAGGAUUGUAAGACAUCUAAAAGUCAAUUACUGAAAUUUUUUCAAAGUCGUAAUGCAAGUUGGUUGGUAUAGUGUUUUUAUCAAGAAAAAGAUUAUUUUCAAAUAUUUUAAUACUUUCUAAAAUGAAUAAAACUACUGGAGCUAUUUACCUAGAAAGUGGUGGGAGUGUGGUGUUGAAGAGGCUCUUCAAGCUCUUAUUCCAACCGAGUCGAAAAUAGGAUACGAAAAAUGUUAUAGUGACGUCUAAAACUGGCAGCAAAUUAAUAAUUGUGCAAAAAUAGUUAAUGAAAAUGUUCUUCUGGCGUAUUUUGAACAAGUUUCCAGUUGUUCAUCUCUGUGGGUAUAUUAUUCGAUGCUACGAUGUGUGAUCAAUAUCAACAAGAACAUAGAUUUAACAUGUUAUGGACGCAGAGGAUGAUCAAUUUUUAAUGUGCAAGGUAGUGUCCAUGAAAUUUACAGUUUAUCUGUAAAUAGAUAUUAAAAUAGAGGAAAAUAUCAUAA